rnacentral:rRNA from 1 species
AGAAUCAACGCUGGCGGCGUGCCUAACACAUGCAAGUCGAACGAGAAAGUGGAGCAAUCCAUGAGUAAAGUGGCGCACGGGUGAGUAACACGUGACUAACCUACCCUUGAGUGGGGAAUAACUUCGGGAAACCGAGGCUAAUACCGCAUAACACCUACGGGUCAAAGGAGCAAUUCGCUUAAGGAGGGGGUCGCGGCAGAUUAGUUAGUUGGCAGGGUAAUGGCCUACCAAGACGGUGAUCUGUAUCCGGCCUGAGAGGGCGCACGGACACACUGGAACUGAAACACGGUCCAGACUCCUACGGGAGGCAGCAGUGGGGAAUUUGCGCAAUGGGGGAAACCCUGACGCAGCAACGCCGCGUGGAGGAUGAAGUCCCUUGGGACGUAAACUCCUUUCGAUCGGGACGAUUAUGACGGUACCGGAAGAAGAAGCCCGGCUAACUUCGCGCCAGCAGCCGC